UACGUAGGGUGCAAGCGUUAAUCGGAAUUACUGGGCGUAAAGCGUGCGCAGGCGGCUUUUUAAGACAGAUGUGAAAUCCCCGGGCUUAACCUGGGAACUGCGUUUGAAACUACAAGGCUAGAGUGUGGCAGAGGGGGGUGGAAUUCCACGUGUAGCAGUGAAAUGCGUAGAGAUGUGGAGGAACACCGAUGGCGAAGGCAGCCCCCUGGGUUAACACUGACGCUCAGGCACGAAAGCGUGGGGAGCAAACAGG
rnacentral:rRNA from 1 species